CUAUGUGUUGUUGGGUAGGGGAGCGUUCUGUAAGCCUGUGAAGGUGUACUGUGAGGUAUGCUGGAGGUAUCAGAAGUGCGAAUGCUGACAUAAGUAACGAUAAAGCGGGUGAAAAGCCCGCUCGCCGGAAGACCAAGGGUUCCUGUCCAACGUUAAUCGGGGCAGGGUGAGUCGACCCCUAAGGCGAGGCCGAAAGGCGUAGUCGAUGGGAAACAGGUUAAUAUUCCUGUACUUGGUGUUACUGCGAAGGGGGGACGGAGAAGGCUAUGUUGGCCGGGCGACGGUUGUCCCGGUUUAAGCGUGUAGGCUGGUUUUCCAGGCAAAUCCGGAAAAUCAAGGCUGAGGCGUGAUGACGAGGCACUACGGUGCUGAAGCAACAAAUGCCCUGCUUCCAGGAAAAGCCUCUAAGCAUCAGGUAACAUCAAAUCGUACCCCAAACCGACACAGGUGGUCAGGUAGAGAAUACCAAGGCGCUUGAGAGAACUCGGGUGAAGGAACUAGGCAAAAUGGUGCCGUAACU
rnacentral:rRNA from 1 species